AAAGAAAUAUUUGAAAGAAAACUUUUAAAUUGAUUUGAAUUAAAUAUUUUUUAAAUUAAAGUAUUAUUAAAACAAAAAUCACAAAAUAAUGUCUAAUUUUACUGAACAGGGUUAGUGGUAGGACGGGUUUGGUCGACAGUAUUACGAGAUGGUAUACUACAAGUGAAAUCCAUUAGAUAUGUUUAAUUUCACUGUGCAUGAUUAGAUGGUAUGACGGGUUUUGAUCGAUAAUAAUACAAAACGAUAUACUACGGAUGAAAUCCUAGAUAUAACAAUUAAAAUCUAUAUAUACAUUAUCUUAAACACUAAACAAAGCAAACAAUAUUAAUAAAACAAAUAUCUACAUAUACAUUUUAUAUAACAAAUUUUAUUAAAAACCUAGCCCCGCGGUAUACCGCGGGUCAAAAUCUAGUUAGUUAUUAUAGCAACUGAU
rnacentral:sRNA from 1 species